rnacentral:rRNA from 1 species
CAGCCGCCGCGGUAAUACGAGGGGUGCAAGCGUUAAUCGGAAUUACUGGGCGUAAAGCGUGCGUAGGCGGUUUGUUAAGUCUGUUGUGAAAUCCCCGGGCUCAACCUGGGAAUGGCAAUGGAUACUGGCAAGCUAGAGUGUGUCAGAGGAUGGUGGAAUUCCCGGUGUAGCGGUGAAAUGCGUAGAGAUCGGGAGGAACAUCAGUGGCGAAGGCGGCCAUCUGGGACAACACUGACGCUGAGGCACGAAAGCGUGGGGAGCAAACAGGAUUAGAUACCCGCGUAGUCCCUGUCUCUUAUAC